rnacentral:tRNA from 1 species
GGGGAUGUAGCUCAGUGGCACAGCGCCUGCCUGGCAAGCAUGAGGUCCUGAGUUCUAUCCCUG